GUUUCUCAAAUAUGAAUAAGACCAAAAUCUUACUAUUUCCACGACUGCACCUAUCAGCUAGGGAAUCCAAAAUAGUAAUGGACCAUCAUAGACCUUACAAUCAAUACAACUAAAAGAAUAGUAAAGCUAAGCAACAGUAAUUGACUUUCUUCAUGUCUCGGUAUCUUGUUGUUGUAGAGAAGGCUCCCAUUUCCUGUAUGUUUGGCUUUGAAUGUGAAUAUACAUAUCAAUUUCACUGUACACCAGAUCCUCGUGGUAGCUGCCUUGCUGGAAUUUGAUAAGGUUCCUAUUUCUCCAUAUUAUAUUGACCAUCAUAGCAAAGACACAACAAAUGAUAGAGCUCUUAGCAGAUCUUUCUUUUGUUUGUUUUGCAACCCGUUCCACUUCAGUGGUCCAGUCACGCAUACUUAUCUGUACUCCCAUCCACCCAUCCAUUUUAGUAGUCUCAACCAUAGACUUUUAGUGACAUUACAUUCUAUAAAUAUAUGAUCAUGAAUUUCAUCAGCACUUCCACAAAACACACAUUUAGCAGGUACCUGUAUCCCAAUCUUUGCUAGUCUCUCAACUGUAGGGAGCCCGUGGAGUAGUGCUAGCCACAAUGUAAAUUUGUGCCUAGGAUGUAUACAUGGAUUCAAGAUAAUACCUUUCAAAGAAACUUUUGGAAACUAGGGUGAGAGAGCACCAUACACAUUUUUUAUCAGAAAUUUUGAUCCUUUAACACAGGAUGCCAACCUAGUUUGCAAAUCUUCGUGUAAUCCAGGAGCC
rnacentral:lncRNA from 1 species